rnacentral:misc_RNA from 1 species
GUGGCGCUAAAUCAUGAUUAGUACUCUUAUACAUUUUAUAAGAGGCUGCAUGUUCCCAUUGGACCCAGAUAUUAUCCAAUAAAAUUGAGAAACUUUAACUAACAGACAUAUAUGAAGAAAUCGAUGCAAACGUUUUGUGUUGGAUUACUUAUAAAAUAAUGAAAUAUAUUUUAGUAACUGGUGGUGUAAUUAGUGGAGUCGGCAAAGGUGUUAUUGCGAGUUCAUUUGGAACUAUACUUAAACAUUGCGGUAUUCAUGUGACAUCUAUUAAGAUAGAUCCUUAUAUAAAUAUUGAUGCCGGUACUUUUUCUCCUUAUGAGCAUGGAGAAGUAUAUGUAUUAGAUGACGGUGGAGAAGUAGAUCUUGAUUUAGGAAAUUAUGAACGUUUUUUAGAUAUUACUUUACACAGAGACAAUAAUAUCACAACAGGAAAAAUUUAUCAACAUGUAAUAUCAAAGGAAAGACAUGGUGAUUAUUUGGGAAAAACUGUUCAAGGUAUAUUAAUACCUCACAUAACAGAUGCUAUUCAAGAAUGGGUUGAAAGAGUUGCAAAGCAAUCAGUAACAAAAGAUGGUGAUAAACCAGAUGUUUGCAUUGUUGAAUUAGGUGGAACUAUAGGAGAUAUUGAAGGAAUGCCAUUUGUAGAAGCUUUUAGACAAUUUCAAUUUAGAGUAAAAAAAGAAAAUUUUUGCUGUGCACAUGUAUCUUUAGUGCCUCAACCAAGAUCUACAGGAGAACCAAAAACAAAACCAACUCAAUCCAGUGUAAGAGAACUACGUGGAUUAGGUUUGUCUCCUGAUCUCAUAGUUUGCAGAUCUGAACAACCAAUAGGCGAUUCUGUAAAAGAAAAAAUUUCGAAUUUUUGUCAUGUUGCUCCAGAACAAGUUAUAACUAUACAUGAUUUGUCAUCUAUAUAUCGUGUUCCUUUAUUGAUGGAAUCUCAAGGUGUAAUUGAAUUUUUAAAUGAUAGGCUACAAUUAAAUAUCGGAAUGCCACGCCCUCGAUAUUUUAUGCGAAAAUGGAGAGAUUUAGCAGAUCGUAUUGAUCAUUUACGAAAAGAAGUAAAUAUUGCAUUAGUAGGAAAAUAUACAAAAUUAGAAGAUUCUUAUGCAUCAGUUACAAAGGCAUUACAACAUGCUUGUAUCCAAGUUGGUUAUAAACUUAAAUUAACAUAUAUAGAAGCUGAUAAUUUAGAACAAAGUACAAAAACAGUAGAUCCUGUAUUAUAUCAUGAAGCUUGGCAACAACUUUGUAAAAGCAAUGGUGUUGUUGUACCAGGUGGUUUUGGUAAAAGAGGUAUGCAAGGAAAAAUGGAAGCAUGUAAAUGGUGUAGAACAAAUGAUAAACCAUUUCUCGGUAUUUGUUUGGGAUUACAAGUAGCAGUAGUUGAAUUCGCAAGGAAUGUUUUAAAUAUAGAAUCUGCAAAUAGCAUGGAAAUUGAUCCAGAAACAGAUCAUCCUCUUGUUAUAGAUAUGCCUGAAUAUAAUCCAAAACAAAUGGGUGGAACUAUGAGACUUGGAAAAAGAUAUACUCGGUUUACAGAAAAUAAUUCUGUCAUAAAACAAUUGUAUGGUAAUAAGGAUUGCAUAGAAGAAAGACAUAGACAUCGUUAUGAAAUCAAUCCAAAUUAUAUUAAUGAUUUAGAAGAAGCUGGAUUGAAGUUCGUCAUGAUGAAGAAAAUUUACGUAUGGAAAUAGCAGAAUUAGAAGGACAUAGUUAUUAUGUUGCGACACAAUUCCAUCCAGAAUAUUUGUCUAGACCACUGAAACCUUCACCGCCAUUUUUAGGACUAAUUUUAGCUAGUGUCGGUAAAUUAAAGCAAUACUUAGUUAAAGGUUGUAAACUUUCACCUCAAGCAAUCAGUGAUAAUGAAUCAGAUAACGAAUGUCUUGUUGAUUCAAUAGCAAAGCAACAAACAAUAAGCGAAACUAGUAUGAGUGGUAGUACUACAUCUUACAAUGAUUUGAUUGAAUAGAUAUAUUAAUCAUAAAAAUAAUUUUAAUUAUGAUCUUUAUAAUAAUAUUAUAAAGAUUUAGAAUACAUGUUAACAGAUUUAUGAUAAUAUGCUAUAUAUUUAAACUAUAUAGUUUUAUUAUUAGAUAUGUAUAUAUUACGUAUAUAAUAUAUCAAAAAAUGUCUAUGUUAUAUAGUUUUAUACCGAAUAAACUAAAAAAAUUUAAAUAUUAGCACAUUUCU